UCGGGAAUUUUGGGCAAUGGGCGAAAGCCUGACCCAGCAACGCCGCGUGAAGGAUGAAGUAUUUCGGUAUGUAAACUUCGAAAGAAUAGGAAGAAUAAAUGACGGUACUAUUUAUAAGGUCCGGCUAACUACGUGCCAGCAGCCGCGGUAAUACGUAGGGACCAAGCGUUGUUCGGAUUUACUGGGCGUAAAGGGCGCGUAGGCGGCAAUUCAAGUCAUCUGUGAAAUCUCCGGGCUUAACUCGGAACGGUCAGAUGAUACUGCUUUGCUAGAGUGCAGAAGGGGCAAUCGGAAUUCUUGGUGUAGCGGUGAAAUGCGUAGAUAUCAAGAGGAACACCUGAGGUGAAGACGGGUUGCUGGGCUGACACUGACGCUGAGGCGCGAAAGCCAGGGGAGCAAACGGGAUUAGAUACCCUGGUAGUCCCUGAGCGGGC
rnacentral:rRNA from 1 species